rnacentral:lncRNA from 1 species
UCAGUUUGAGGUCAGCCCCAGCUCUACAACUCACCAGGAGAGUGCGCGAGGAUGAGGGAGAGACAGCCUGCUCUGGUUCUCUUCAAGGUGACAAUGACACCUGUUGACAGUUGAGAAUUCCAGCCAGGAAUACAGAUUUAGGAAUCAUGUUUCUCACUCUCAUGAUGACAUAGAAGAGAUGCGUCUGAAUCUUUCUGCCAGUGUGUUAAAGCUAUUCUGAUAUUGACUGUAGUUCUGAGCUUUGUCUCUAUCCCACCAAACCACUAACUUCUUGAAAUUACUUGUAGACCAAGAUGAGAGGACUCCGUGUGUGGCUCCAUAUGAAUGACUUAUCGUGCCUGUCCAGAGGCAGGGAAAGGAGAAACAAUCUUAUUUGAGAAGGGAGGAUAUCACUGCGGUGGUUGUGAAAUCGUGUUUGGAAGCUAGAUUGCUCUAGACCACUAAGCUCUCUUCAUGUGACAAAGAAACUUCCUAAAAUACUAAAAGCUAAAGGAGAUUGUUAUCUAAGCUUGAGAUGGAAGGUUGCCAGCAGAAACUUGGAGGAUCACAGCCAGUCGCCUGGGAUUGACCACAGGCAGUGGCAGAGGCAGAAGGCAAAAGACCAGUUGCAAUUUUCCAGAAUCCUGAAUUGAGCCUGUGUUCCCAGUUCCUAGAAACCCUCAAGGUUAUUGGUUUCCUCCUCGCUUAACAGACCAGUGGAAGAAAUCUACCUCCAGUUCUAUCUUCACAUGAGCAACUGUUUACAGUUUACAAUAUUACUCUGAAAAUCAGUUCUUUUCAAGUUUUAUCUAACACCCACCAGAAGAA